rnacentral:rRNA from 1 species
UGGGGAAUAUUGGGGCAAUGGAGGGAACUCUGACCCAGCAACGCCGCGUGAAGGAUGAAGGCCCUCUGGGUUGUAAACUUCUGUUGUAUAGGAAAAGAAGUGAUGGUACUAUACGAGGAAGCCACGGCUAACUACGUGCCAGCAGCCGCGGUAAUACGUAGGUGGCAAGCGUUGUUCGGAAUGACUGGGGCGUAAAGGGAGUCUAGGUGGCGAUUUAAGUCGAAUGUGAAAGCCUGUGGCUUAACCAUAGAAGUGCAUUCGAUACUGGAUUGCUGGAGUGCAGGAGAGGUAAUGGGAAUUCCUAGUGUAGCGGUUAAAUGCAUAGAGAUUAGGAGGAACACCGGAGGCGAAGGCGCAUUACUGGACUGUAACUGACACUGAAGCUCGAAAGCGUGGGGAGCAAACAGGAUUAGAUACCCUGGUAGU